UGUAAGGCAGCCAUUAGGCACAGAUAAGGAUUGUGAGGUUACUUCCUUGUCAUUACAAAGCCCAGGAUUGCCAAUGGCCACACUAAUGAACGAAUUGGAUAAGCACAUCCAACAGGUGUGGAAGCACACGUGCUGAUUUGAAAAUGCAGCACUCAGGUGUGCUAUAAAAAGCAGCAGUUGAGUUCACUUGUCUUCAACACAAAUGGAAUGAGCUAGAAGAAGAAGAAUGAGAAUGAGAAUGAGAGGGGGAGAUGAAGGAGGUAGAGGAAGAGGUAGAGAAGGAUUUGGAGAGUCGAUAGAACCUGAACAAAGAAGACGAAGACCAAAUUUGACUCAAGAUUUCCAUGCAACACUUAUUGACCAUGUUGUCACUGAUGGAAGCUGGACAAAGAGUUCAACCAAAUCUCAGCAGAAAUACUGUUGCGUCACGAAUGCGGACAUUUCAUCGAGAAAACAGGCUGUGAUCAUAUGGGGGUGGAUUCGGAACACGAGGCGAUUCUUCCAACGGUGCCUUGCUAAUGAAGACAUGUAGCCUGUGAUGUGGAGGAAAUCGUAUGGCCUGACCCAGCCAGACGCAGAGAUGAUGAAUAGUUGCAGUAUUCUUGUUGCUUAGUUUUUCUUCAGAGUCAAAGUCAAUGUACUUCAUGCAGUAAUUUGUAUUUGUCUACAAAUUUUAUUUGUUUCAUUGAUUUCAUUGUUGGUUGAUUACUGUAACUGAUUAUGGUAAGAAAUACUGUAAGUAUUGAAAUAAAUACUUGAAAUAUUCAGUCUGCAGCAUCAGUGUUGUACAGCGCUUGGUAAGUUUAUAGUAGGCCUAUUUGUGUACAUUCUCCCUACAUCUCAAACUAAUCAUGAAGAAUGUUGUGGGUUUGUCACUAUAUUUUUUUUUGUAAUUUAAAUUAUCCCUUACAUAACAAUGUCUGGCCAAAAACUUUGUAGACUUCAUUCUAAGGCCUUUGGUCACCACGCUCCCUAGCUACCUCAGGGACACGUCUGACUUCCUAAAAUGUUUAUCACAGAUUGGUCAUUUAGGUCAGAAUGUUCUGCUUGCCACUAUGGAUGUACUGUAACCUCUUUAUACACUCACCACUCUUAAAUAUUUCCUUGAUCUUCGGACUGAUGAUGAUGGACUAACAACUGAAUUCAUUGUAAAAAUGGCUGAACUAGUGCUUACUAAAAAUUACUUCUUGUUUGAACAUCAAUAUUCCCUUCAGAUCAGUGGCACAGCCAUGGGUGCCACUAUGGCCCCUGACUAUGCCAAUUUAUAUCUUGGUUUCUUGGAAGAACAGUAUGUGUUCAAU